rnacentral:rRNA from 1 species
GACGAACGCUGGCGGCGUGCUUAACACAUGCAAGUCGAACGGAAAGGCCCUGCUUUUGUGGGGUGCUCGAGUGGCGAACGGGUGAGUAACACGUGAGUAACCUGCCCUUGACUUUGGGAUAACUUCAGGAAACUGGGGCUAAUCCCGGAUAGGAGCUCCUCCUGCUUGGGGGGGGUGGGAAAGUUUCGGCGGUUGGGGAUGGACUCGCGGCUUAUCAGCUUGUUGGUGGGGUAGUGGCUUACCAAGGCUUUGACGGGUAGCCGGCCUGAGAGGGUGACCGGCCACAUUGGGACUGAGAUACGGCCCAGACUCCUACGGGAGGCAGCAGUGGGGAAUAUUGCACAAUGGGCGGAAGCCUGAUGCAGCAACGCCGCGUGCGGGAUGACGGCCUUCGGGUUGUAAACCGCUUUCGCCUGUGACGAAGCGUGAGUGACGGUAAUGGGUAAAGAAGCACCGGCUAACUACGUG